rnacentral:rRNA from 1 species
UUGCAGUUAAAAAGCUCGUAGUUGAACUUCAGGUCUGGUGGGCCGGUCCGCCUCACGGUGUGUACUGGUCGACUGGACCUUACCUCUUGGUGAGCCGUCAUGCCGUUUAUUCGGUGUGGCGGGGAACCAGGACUUUUACUUUGAAAAAAUUAGAGUGUUCAAAGCAGGCCUAUGCCCGAAUACAUUAGCAUGGAAUAAUAGAAUAGGACGUGCGGUUCUAUUUUGUUGGUUUCUAGGAUCGCCGUAAUGAUUAAUAGGGAUAGUUGGGGGCAUUAGUAUUCAGUCGCUAGAGGUGAAAUUCUUGGAUUGACUGAAGACUAACUACUGCGAAAGCAUUUGCCAAGGAUGUUUUCAUUAAUCAAGA